rnacentral:rRNA from 1 species
UACGUAGGGUGCAAGCGUUGUCCGGAAUUAUUGGGCGUAAAGAGCUCGUAGGCGGUCUGUCGCGUCUGCUGUGAAAAUCCAGGGCUCAACCCUGGACCUGCAGUGGGUACGGGCAGACUAGAGUGCGGUAGGGGAGAUCGGAAUUCCCGGUGUAGAGGUGAAAUUCGUAGAUAUCGGGAGGAAUACCGGUGGCGAAGGCGGCGACCUGGGUAGAUACUGACGCUGAGGCGCGAAAGCGUGGGGAGCAAACAGG